CUUCAUAUAACUAAUUAAAGUUCUGAGUUCUUACCUCAGCAAUGUGCGCUGCACUGUGACGU
rnacentral:tRNA from 1 species